UGAACGCUGGCGGCGUGCCUAACACAUGCAAGUCGAACGGAGAUUACGGACGGAAGUUUUCGGAUGGAAGACUGUAAUUCUUAGUGGCGGACGGGUGAGUAACGCGUGGGCAACCUGCCCUAUACAGGGGGAUAGCAGCUGGAAACGGCUGGUAAGACCGCAUAAGUCGGCGAGACCGCAUGGUUUUGCCGGGAAAUGAGCAAUCAGGUAUAGGAUGGGCCCGCGUCCGAUUAACCAGUUGGCAGGGUAAAAGCCUACCAAAGCAACGAUCGGUAGCCGGACUGAGAGGUCGGACGGCCACAUUGGGACUGAGACACGGCCCAAACUCCUACGGGAGGCAGCAGUGGGGGAUAUUGCACAAUGGAGGAAACUCUGAUGCAGCGACGCCGCGUGAGUGAAGAAGUAUUUCGGUAUGUAAAGCUCUAUCAGCAGGGAAGAUGAUGACGGUACCUGACUAAGAAGCCCCGGCUAACUACGUG
rnacentral:rRNA from 1 species